AGUGAUGGUUUAGUGGUAGGAUUCUCACCUUCCAUGUGGGAGACCCAGGUUCAAUUCCUGGCCAAUACUU
rnacentral:tRNA from 1 species